UACGUAGGGUGCGAGCGUUGUCCGGAAUUACUGGGCGUAAAGAGCUCGUAGGUGGUUUGUCGCGUUGUUCGUGAAAACCGGGGGCUUAACCCUCGGCGUGCGGGCGAUACGGGCAGACUUGAGUACUGCAGGGGAGACUGGAAUUCCUGGUGUAGCGGUGGAUGCGCAGAUAUCAGGAGGAACACCGGUGGCGAAGGCGGGGUCUCUGGGCAGUAACUGACG
rnacentral:rRNA from 1 species